rnacentral:misc_RNA from 1 species
CGCCUCCGCCCCCGCUCCUCCCCCAUCCGCGCCGCCAUCAGCCGCACCCGCAAAGAACAAACCGUCGAGCUCGUCAAGCAGCAGCUCGACACUUGCCACCUCAUCGCCGGCAUCCGCUACAAAGGCCUCACCGUCAAGCAGCUCCAGGACCUCCGCCGUAGCCUCCCUGACUCCGUCAAGCUCCUCGUCGCCAAGAAUACCCUCGUCGGCAAGGCCGUUG